rnacentral:snRNA from 1 species
AGCUUUGCACAGCAGCAGUAUCGUAGUCAAUGAGGUUUAUCCAAGGUGCGAUUAUUGCUAAUUGAAAACUUUUCCCAAUACCCUGCCCGUGAUGACUUGUGAUAUAGUCAGCAUUCACAAUUUUUGACAGUCUCUACUGAGA